UACGUAGGGUGCGAGCGUUAAUCGGAAUUACUGGGCGUAAAGCGUGCGCAGGCGGUUUGUUAAGACAGAUGUGAAAUCCCCGGGCUUAACCUGGGAACUGCAUUUGUGACUGGCAAGCUAGAGUAUGGCAGAGGGGGGGUAGAAUUCCACGUGUAGCAGUGAAAUGCGUAGAGAUGUGGAGGAAUACCGAUGGCGAAGGCAGCCCCCUGGGCCAAUACUGACGCUCAUGCACGAAAGCGUGGGGAGCAAACAGGAUUAGAGUACCCCAG
rnacentral:rRNA from 1 species